UCGAAUAAAGUCCUGUAUACAUAUUGAUAAUGACAAUAUGUACAUAUUGUCUUGACUAAUUACGUGCCAGCAGUCGCGGUAAUACGUAAGAGACUAGUGUUAAUCAUCUUAAAUAGGUUUAAAGGGUACUUAUACGGUAAAAUUUACCUUAUUUUAGAGGUACAAUUUUUCUAGAGUUUUAUAUAAGAAGGUCGUACUCUAAGAGUGUAGAGAUGAAAUUUUUUGAUACCUAGGGGACUGGUAAAGGUGAAAGCAGCCUUUUAUGUAAAAACUGACGUAGUAGGACGAAGGCAUCGGGCACGAACAGGAUUAGAUACCCCAGUAGUCUUUGCAGAGAAUUAUGAAUGCCAUAUAUAAAUGAAAAUGUAAGCAUUUCACCUCAAGAGUAAUGUGGCAACGCAGGAACUGAAAUCACUAGACCGUUUCUGACACCAGCAGUGAAGUAUGUUAUUUAAUUCGGUGAUCCACGAAAAACCUUACCACACAAGUGUUGCACGGCUGUCUUCAGUUAAUGUUGUGAAACUGUGGUUCGGUCCACGGAAUUAACGAAAACCC
rnacentral:rRNA from 1 species